AUGCCUAAUACAUGCAAGUCGAGCGGACUUGAUAAGAAGCUUGCUUCUCUGAUGGUUCGCGGCGGACGGGUGAGUAACACGUAGGCAACCUGCCCUCAAGUUUGGGACAACUACCGGAAACGGUAGCUAAUACCGAAUAGUUGUUUUCUUCGCCUGAAGAGAACUGGAAAGACGGAGCAAUCUGUCACUUGGGGAUGGGCCUGCGGCGCAUUAGCUAGUUGGUGGGGUAACGGCUCACCAAGGCGACGAUGCGUAGCCGACCUGAGAGGGUGAUCGGCCACACUGGGACUGAGACACGGCCCAGACUCCUACGGGAGGCAGCAU
rnacentral:rRNA from 1 species